GACGAACGCUGGCGGCGUGCCUAAUACAUGCAAGUCGAACGGUUUAGUUCCAAGAGGCUUGCCUUUUGGAACUAGACAGUGGCGGACGGGUGAGUAACACGUAGGCAACCUACCUGUCAAACCGGGAUAACCUCGGGAAACCGAAGCUAAACCCGGAUAAGCUCCUUUUUCGCAUGAAGGGGGAGUGAAAAGGUGCGACCUGAUGACAGAUGGGCCUGCGGCGCAUUAGCUAGUAGGUAGGGUAACGGCCUACCUAGGCGAUGAUGCGUAGCCGACCUGAGAGGGCGUACGGCCACACUGGGACGGGGAAACGGCCCAGACUCCUACGGGGGGAAGCAGUAGGGAAUCUUCGGCAAUGGGGAAAAGCCUGACCGAGCAACGCCGGGGGGGGGAGGAAGGCCUUGGGGUUGUAAAACUCUGUUGUUUGGGAAAAAGGGAAAGGGUAGGACCCUUAGGGGACGGUACAAAACGAGAAAGCCCCGGCAAACUACGU
rnacentral:rRNA from 1 species